UUACAGUGUCUUAUGUUACAAUCCUGGAUCCUGAUGCUGUUUGCGCAUGCGUCUGUAAAAUGUGAACGCAUGCGCGGUACAGACCCAGUGGAAUCGUCUGUCCACGAUCACCUGCCCAAUUUGCACUGCGCAUGCGUGGUGAAAAUUGGGGGGGGCACUUCCUCAAUCAUCAUUGCAACACCUGAUCCCUAGGUGGCGGUAAUGUACAAUUCGGCACAGAAGAAGAAGAGGAGCAGCUGGGUAGAAAAAAAAAGCAAGGAAGAAGAGUGUUAAUGGUGUUUACUGCUCAUCUGGAGAGUCACCGCCAUCUUUCUGCAGGGGGUUAGAAGGUUGUUUCGUCCUGAUGGCCUGCACCCCAGCAGCCUCGGAGCGGAACUGCUGUCUGACAACAUCUCCAAGACGCUACACACCAAGUGACUGUCUACCUCAAUGGUGCAACAAGGUAUCUGGACUAGAUGACCUAUCUGGCCUUUGAUUAGGCCUACUGCAUCUUCUGAUGGAGAUGUAAAACGAAGUGCAUGAGUUUAAAAGACCCGUGUGUUCCUGUAGUUGUUGGCAGCUCAGCGGGCGAGACGUGCGGCUCUGAUCGCUUGGAUCAAUAGUCUAAGGCUGGAAAUUCAGUGCAUAGGGUAAGUCAACACCUGUUUAUCAGUGUUUAUUUAUAGUCACAGCGUUUAACUCACGCUUCACGUGCAGCCGAGAAGAAGGACAGGGUGAAGGAAAUGCGCCAUACCGUGACAUAGGGCACGGCCAACAGGCUGCAGCUCCAGACCCGGCGGUAAGGAUGCACAAUCCAUCUAAUUAAAACUUGUCUAUUUUUUUUAAACUACGUUCAACCACUCUGCUAACGAUUCAUCAGUGACUCGAUCACUUGAGUUUUAUUUUACUGUGUUUAUAUUGUUUGGGGAGAGUGUGUGUUCAGUCCAUGGAUAACGGUUUAGAUGUACAACGAAGUGCGUGAGUUUAAAAGACCUGUGUUCCUGUAGGUGUUGAGAGCUCAGUGGAGGAUACGUUUGGCUCGGAUCAGGAGGAUCCUUAGGCUCUUGCCGGAGUUUCUGCGCAUGUGGUAAGUGCAGGAGUCAACACCUGUUUCAGUGUUUAUUUACAGUCACAGCGUUUAACCUCACGCUUCCUACCUCGCCAGGCAGAUCAUGUCCGAGGUCAAGGCACUCAGAUCACAGAUGCGUUAAAGUAACGUCUGAACUUAUUCACUCUUAUUCUCUGUCUCUCUCUCUCUCUAUACAUUCAUUAUGAACCGGUUUCACUGACUGCGUUUAACGUGCAGACUGGCUGUGUCCUUGCAGCGUGUGAUUUUUUAAUUUUUUUAUUUUUUUAUUUCGUCUGUGUGUUUUCUUAAGGAGGUGGAAGAUUGAGGAGCCGAUUUUUGUUUUUUUGUUUUUUUUUGUUAAAUAAAAGGUUUCUUUAAACAAUGAACACCUGCCUGACUGUAUGAGUUAUUUACAUGAACCAGCUGCAGGAACGUCUUGCUAUUAGGGAUGUGAAAGUGAUAUCUUUUUGUACAGAGCGUAAUGGAACUGAGGCAUCAGGAAUCCCAAAUAUAGUAAUGAAUGGGCAAGGUUUUAAAUCUACUCUGAGAAUAGUGGACAUGACAGUAAAGAAACCAGUCCAAAAACCAUGGAGAUCAGGGCAGAAGAAAAACAUAUGGCCAAGAUGACAGGGAGAGCCAUGGCAUUUAUCACACUUGUCCUCUACUUCUGGAUAUAUUACAGAAAGUCUCGACUUAGACAAAUGGAUUCUG